GUGGGUCUAGAGCUAGAGGGCCCGGCCGGAUUGGAGGUGGGGGGGCGGGGGCUCCUGGGGCCCCUCUGCCAAACAGGAAUAUACAGACCGCCUGUGAGCCAGGACAUAGGGGGUUUGGCCUGAGUGAGAGAGUGACUGGGGACCACUGUCCCCAGCCCUAUAGGCAAAGAACAGGAGGUCCCUGCUGUGGGUUGUUCAGGGAAGUCAGCCCCGGCUCCACCUGACCCUGUUUGUUUUCUUGCUUUCUGGCCCUGCCCACUUCCGCUGGAGCUCUGCCCCACCUACCCCAGAGGCAAGAGGAGGGGACAGAUGGGGGUCAAAGGAUAGGUUGUGGGGGUGGUGGGUGAGGUAUCUAUGAAGCAUCUUGCAAACAGAUACUGCCUUCGCAGAUGCUUGGGGCAGAGACCGGGCCUCUCCCCAGGAACCACACCAAGGGAGUUAUCUUCCAGACAACAGAUUCCUGAAAAGAUGGCAUCGGGCCGGGCACGCUGCACCCGAAAGCUGCGGAACUGGGUGGUGGAGCAAGUGGAGAGCGGGCAGUUCCCGGGGGUGUGCUGGGACGAUGCAGCUAAGACCAUGUUCCGGAUUCCUUGGAAGCAUGCAGGCAAGCAGGACUUCCGGGAGGACCAGGAUGCCGCUUUCUUCAAGGCAUGGGCGAUAUUUAAGGGGAAGUACAAGGAGGGAGACACAGAAGGCCCUGCUAUCUGGAAGACUCGUCUGCGCUGUGCUCUCAACAAGAGCCCCGAAUUUGAGGAGGUUCCUGAAAAUGGCCAUAGGGAUGGAGCUGAGCCCUACAAGGUGUAUCGGCUGCUGCCAUCGGGGACCCUCCCUGCCCAGCCAGGGACCCAGAAAUCACCAUCAAAGCGACAUUACAGUUCUGUGUCCUCUGAGAGGGAAGAGGAUGAGGGUACCACAAAGAACUGCAUACUCAGUCCCUCUUUGAUUGAGGACCCCCUCAAAAACGAGGAGGUGGGGGCCAGUGGGGAAGCAGGCCAUUCAGAAUUUGGGAGCAGCAGCAGCAGCAACAGCCCUGAGCCUCAGGAAGGUACAGACACAACAGAAGCCCCUUUCCAAGGAGAUCAGGUGUCAUUGGAGAGUCUGCCCCCUCCAGACUCAGACUACUCGCUGCUGCUUACCUUCAUCUACGGUGGGCGCGUGGUGGGCGAAGCCCAGGUGCAGAGCCUGGACUGCCGCCUUGUGGCUGAGCCCUCAGGCUCCCAGUAUGGGAUGGAGCAGGUGGUGUUUCCCAAGCCUGACCCACGAGAGCCCACCCAGCGCCUGCUGAGCCAGAUCGAGAGAGGUGUCCUAGUAGCCAGCAACUCCAGAGGCCUCUUCGUGCAGCGUCUCUGCCCCAUCCCCAUCUCCUGGAACGCGCCCCAGGCGCCACCCGGUCCAGGCCCACAUCUGCUGCCCAGCAAUGAGUGCGUGGAGCUCUUCAGAACCACCUACUUCUGCAGAGGUGAGGCUGUUCCAGUUGAGCUGAGCCCCUGCCCCCAUCUCUUAGGACCCCCUGGGACCUUGCAGGGCUCUGCCACCACCCUGUGUUCCUUCCAGUAGAUCCUUCGUUACAGCCCAGGCAUAGCACCUUGCACUUGAGCGGUGCACACACAUCCUGUGGGGCACUGUGCUCAGCCCUGGCAGCUGUCUGGCAGCCAGCCUUCCCCAGCCAAGGUCUCGGAAGAUGAAGCUCGGAUGCAGCUCAGCACACAAGUCACAUGUUGGGGACUGCCACCACAUGGCAGCAUGCAGUAACGGGAAGACCUGGCCAGGUACUUCCAGGGCCUGGGCCCCCCACCCAAGUUCCAGGUGACUCUGAACUUCUGGGAGGAGAGCCCUGGCCCCAGCCACA